rnacentral:lncRNA from 1 species
UGGAGUGCAUGAUCUGCCAGCUCAAUUAAUGAGCUCAGAUCUAACGCUCCUGGUUUUUUUGAAUUUCCAAUUUUCUGAUUUUAUUUUCUUUAUUCCCUUUUAUUUCAAAAAUUCAUAUCUUCUUUAUUUUUAAUCCAAAAAAUAUGGGACCAAUUGCAUUAGUCUCCAAAUAAUUUCUAGUUUCUAUUUCUGAUUUUUAGUAUUUUUUAUUUUGUCAUUUGAUAUUUUUUGUGAAUUUUCUCUUUUCUAGUUAUUUUUAAUUCAUUUUAAAUAGUUUUUGAUAUUCAAAAAAUACAAAAAAUAUUUUCCUAACCUAUUUGAAUGAUGAUAGACCUAUGAAAAUAUUCUCAUCAAUUUUUUAAUUGAUUUGAGAUUUAUUUGAGAUUUUAGUUCAUUUAGGUUAUUUUUAUUCAUUUUUAAUUGAUUAAAAAUAGUUUCUGACUUUUAAAAAUGCUGAAUUU